UGAGGAAUUUUGCGCAAUAGGGGAAACUCUGACGCAGCAACGCCGCGUGAGUGAAGAAGGCCCUUGGGUCGUAAAGCUCUGUCAAGUGGGAAAAAAGCUUACUGGUAAAUAGCCAGCAAGACUGAUGGUACCAUUGAAGGAAGCACCGGCUAACUCCGUGCCAGCAGCCGCGGUAAUACGGAGGGUGCAAGCGUUGUUCGGAAUUACUGGGCGUAAAGGGCGUGUAGGCGGUGUGGUAAGUCAGAUGUGAAAGCCCUGGGCUUAACCCAGGAAGUGCAUUUGAAACUGCCAUGCUUGAGUAUGGGAGAGGAGAGUGGAAUUCCCAGUGUAGAGGUGAAAUUCGUAGAUAUUGGGAGGAACACCCGUGGCGAAGGCGACUCUCUGGACCAAUACUGACGCUGAGGCGCGAAAGCGUGGGGAGCAAACAGGAUUAGAUACCCUGGUAGUCCACGCUGUAAACGAUGAGCACUAGGUGUAGCGGGUAUUGACCCCUGCUGUGCCGUAGCUAACGCAUUAAGUGCUCCGCCUGGGGAGUACGGCCGCAAGGCUA
rnacentral:rRNA from 1 species